rnacentral:rRNA from 1 species
AGCGUACACGGUGGAUGCCCUGGCAGUCAGAGGCGAUGAAGGACGUGCUAAUCUGCGAUAAGCGUCGGUGAGGUGAUAUGAACCGUUAUAACCGGCGAUUUCCGAAUGGGGAAACCCAGUGUGUUUCGACACACUAUCAUUAACUGAAUCCAUAGGUUAAUGAGGCGAACCGGGGGAACUGAAACAUCUAAGUACCCCGAGGAAAAGAAAUCAACCGAGAUUCCCCCAGUAGCGGCGAGCGAACGGGGAGGAGCCCAGAGCCUGAAUCAGUGUGUGUGUUAGUGGAAGCGUCUGGAAAGGCGUGCGAUACAGGGUGACAGCCCCGUACACAAAAAUGCACAUAUUGUGAGCUCGAUGAGUAGGGCGGGACACGUGGUAUCCUGUCUGAAUAUGGGGGGACCAUCCUCCAAGGCUAAAUACUCCUGACUGACCGAUAGUGAACCAGUACCGUGAGGGAAAGGCGAAAAGAACCCCGGCGAGGGGAGUGAAAAAGAACCUGAAACCGUGUACGUACAAGCAGUGGGAGCCUCUUAAUGGGGUGACUGCGUACCUUUUGUAUAAUGGGUCAGCGACUUAUAUUCUGUAGC